rnacentral:rRNA from 1 species
UAACAAGGAUUCCCCUAGUAACGGCGAGUGAAGAGGGAAAAGCCCAGCACCGAAGCCUGCGGCAGUUUUGCUGUUAGGCAAUGUGGUGUUUGGGUCGGCUCGUGGGACUGCCACUCCACUCGAAGUCCAGCAUUGGGUAUGGUCACUGGAUUUGGCCCAGAGAGGGUGAAAGGCCCGUACGGGUGGAGGUUCAGAAAUGAGAGGCAGUUCACCAGGCCGGCCUUAGAGUCGGGUUGUUUGAGAAUGCAGCCCAAAGUGGGUGGUAAACUCCAUCCAAGGCUAAAUACUAGCACGAGUCCGAUAGCGAACAAGUACCGUGAGGGAAAGUUGAAAAGUACUCUGAAGAGAGAGUAAACAGUACGUGAAACCGCAUGCAGGUAAACGGGUGGCGUCAAGCUGCAGGCAUGGAGGAUUCAGCCGGCUAGGGUGUUGUGUAUGCGCCUGGCGCAUCCAUCAGUCGGAGUAUGAUUGGGUAGUCCACUGGUAAACGGUGGGCCCGGCCGCAAGGCUGGGAUGUGUGUACCGGGUGUGUGCCGGAGCACGCUAUCCGUCUAUGGACUGUCUAGCCGGUGCACUUUCUCUGUGCCGACACCACGACCGGUGGUAUUGCCAGUCUGCUGUGUCCAAGUCGUGCUUGGUCGGUCCUUGUGGCCAGCCGGGUGCGAUCACAGGCAAACUCAGUAUACGGCGUAGGGGGGCUUCGGCACCUCUGCGUGUUAUCGGCUACUGGUUGUCAACGGAUUGCCUAGUGUUUGUUGUAAUCGGCACUUGGGUGGUUCGGUGGGGCAUGGUGGUAAGAAUAACUGUGCAAGGCACCGGGUUUAUCGGCCUCAAAUGCACUCCGCGCCCACAUUACAAGUGGUGUAUGGCUGUGCUGUUGCUGCCUGCUUGUGGCUGGGUCUGAUUGUCGUGUCGCCUGCGCAAAGUAGGCCCGGCAGUGGCUCGACCCGAGGUGGGUAGUGGAUGGUGCAGUCAGUGUGGAGUGUGGUGGGCCCAAUAGUCAGUGGUGUAGUGGUAGACGAGCUACCCGACCCGUCUUGAAACACGGACCAAGGAGUUUAACAUGUGUGCAAGUCAAUGGGCGUUACGAAACCCAAAGGCGCA